UACGUAGGGUGCAAGCGUUAAUCGGAAUUACUGGGCGUAAAGCGUGCGCAGGCGGUCGUGCAAGACAGAUGUGAAAUCCCCGGGCUUAACCUGGGAACUGCAUUUGUGACUGCACGGCUGGAGUGCGGCAGAGGGGGAUGGAAUUCCGCGUGUAGCAGUGAAAUGCGUAGAUAUGCGGAGGAACACCGAUGGCGAAGGCAAUCCCCUGGGCCUGCACUGACGCUCAUGUGCGAAAGCUAGGGGAGCGAACGGG
rnacentral:rRNA from 1 species